rnacentral:rRNA from 1 species
GAUGAACGCUGGCGGCGUGCCUAAUACAUGCAAGUCGAGCGAACAGACGAGGAGCUUGCUCCUCUGACGUUAGCGGCGGACGGGUGAGUAACAUGUGGAUAACCUACCUAUAAGACUGGGAUAACUUCGGGAAACCGGAGCUAAUACCGGAUAAUAUAUUGAACCGCAUGGUUCAAUAGUGAAAGACGGUUUUGCUGGCACUUAUAGAUGGAUCCGCGCCGCAUUAGCUAGUUGGUAAGGUAACGGCUUACCAAGGCAACGAUGCGUAGCCGACCUGAGAGGGUGAUCGGCCACACUGGAACUGAGACACGGUCCAGGCUCCUACGGGAGGCAGCAGUAGGGAAUCUUCCGCAAUGGGCGAAAGCCUGACGGAGCAACGCCGCGUGAGUGAUGAAGGUCUUCGGGUCGUAAAACUCUGUUAUUAGGGAAGAACAAAUGUGUAAGUAACUAUGCACGUCUUGACGGUACCUAAUCAGAAAGCCACGGCUAACUACGUG